rnacentral:rRNA from 1 species
GUCAGUUCCAUUCUAAAAUCCGGCUUCUGGGACAUGUAUGACCCGGAGGGCUACUCCCUGUGGUUCUGCGACUUCAAGUACAACGAGGAGAACACCGUGUCCUUCGUGACCAUGAACAAGGUGGGUGGAUUCCUGCUGCGUAUGGACCUGUGCCGCAAGUACGCCUUUGGGAAGAUGCUUGUGAUAGGCUCCGAGCCACCUUUCAAGGUCAAGGGGCUUUGGCUCUUCCGUGGCCCUAAGAUCCCCAAGUUUGUCAUGGAGGAGGUGUACGACAUGGCCCUCUAUGACUGGGCGAAGGUUGAUCUCUCUGAUGCGGCGCAGAAGGAGCGCGUCAGCGCCAUGAUCGAGGACCUGGAGCCGUUUGAGGGCGAGGCGCUGCUGGAUGCGAAAUGCUUCAAGUGA